rnacentral:rRNA from 1 species
AGUCGUAACAAGGUCUCCGUAGGUGAACCUGCGGAGGGAUCAUUACACAAAUAUGAAGGCGGGCUGGAACCUCUCGGGGUUACAGCCUUGCUGAAUUAUUCACCCUUGUCUUUUGCGUACUUCUUGUUUCCUUGGUGGGUUCGCCCACCACUAGGACAAACAUAAACCUUUUGUAAUUGCAAUCAGCGUCAGUAACAAAUUAAUAAUUACAACUUUCAACAACGGAUCUCUUGGUUCUGGCAUCGAUGAAGAACGCAGCGAAAUGCGAUAAGUAGUGUGAAUUGCAGAAUUCAGUGAAUCAUCGAAUCUUUGAACGCACAUUGCGCCCUUUGGUAUUCCAAAGGGCAUGCCUGUUCGAGCGUCAUUUGUACCCUCAAGCUUUGCUUGGUGUUGGGCGUCUUGUCUCUAGCUUUGCUGGAGACUCGCCUUAAAGUAAUUGGCAGCCGGCCUACUGGUUUCGGAGCGCAGCACAAGUCGCACUCUCUAUCAGCAAAGGUCUAGCAUCCAUUAAGCCUUUUUUUUCAACUUUUGACCUCGGAUCAGGUAGGGAUACCCGCUGAACUUAAGCAUAUCAAUUAAAAGUCG